rnacentral:misc_RNA from 1 species
AACGGUCUAUACCUGCGGUACCUGCGGAAGGAUCAUUACCGAGUUUACAAAACUCCCAAACCCUUUGUGAACCUUACCUAUCGUUGCUUCGGCGGGACCGCCCCGGCGCCCUCGCGGCCCGGAACCAGGCGCCCGCCGGAGGCCCCAAACCCUCAUGUCUUUAGUGGUUUCCUCCUCUGAGUGACAUAAACAAAUAAAGUAAAAACUUUCAACAACGGAUCUCUAGAUCGGAAGAGCACA